UUGAGAACGCGAACCGUCGUCUCCUUGGGAACACAAACCGCCAUCUUCUUGGGAACACAAACCGCCGUCUCCUUGGGAAUGUGAACCGCCGUCUCCUUGGGAACACAAACCGCCAUCUCCUUGGGAAUGUGAACCGCCGUCUCCUUGGAAACAUGAACCACCAUCGGUUAGCGAAUUCCGAGAUGCGGUCUUUUCGCCACGUGUCAGGGGGCUAUUGGGCCGGAACCGUUCAUGCGGAUGGAGGCGACGUGGCUCGAUCUGGGGGCAGGUGCGUCGAACUGUCGGACCGAGGAAGGGCCCAAAUGCUACCACAUGUCGGCAUCUGGGAAGCCCUCGUUCGGCGCACUUUCAUCUCGACCGUUGAAGGACCUUAUAUAUAUGCGGCCACUUACAUCUAAAACCUCACUUUUUACUGCAAAUCCAUUCCUGGCGCUGAGGCCUUGUCGAAUUAUCCCCCAGUUCCAGGUAGUUAUCUCCGUGCUCUCUCUUUGAAAGCUCUUCUCGAAGUUUUGCCCGUUCUUGUCUUCUUGAU
rnacentral:lncRNA from 1 species